UGGGCCCCUAUAAUAAACUAGGGCAUCUUUUGCUCUUACCAGUCUGGUUCUUGUUCAUGCACCAUUGUUAUGAGAAAGAAGAUAGUGAUAUGGUUUUUAGUUCUACUUUCAAGAGAGAGAGACAGAGAGACAGAGAGACAGAGAGACAGAGAGAGAGAGUGCUUGAGCAGCCUAUAAGGUGAAUUUUGAACUGGACGGUGUGAAAUUCACGUGCAUGUACGAACUUCACGUGACUCUGCUUCCGUGUCCAUGGACUUUUAUGUCCAUUUUAACGCCAUUCUUGGACUACAUGGAAUCCCCACUUGGCAUUGAUCUCAUUUGCAUGACUUGCAUGGCAUAGUUGGUUCCCACGUGUUCCCAUAUCGAGGAUUGAAUUGAGAGGUUAAGUCUCUCAUAUCAUAGGAACAGGUUUUGAAACACUUCAAGGUGGUGAGCAUGCAUUUGCAGUGUAAAAAGCAGAUAGAGGAAACCAAUUUCUUUCUUUUUUUAUUUUUAUUUUUUUGAUGGAAGCAUAUUACUGUCCAGGUUGUGGAGGCCCACUUCUUACAAUAAUAUUAGCUCUGCCCAUGUUGCUCUGAGGUUCAGGAUAUAAUUAAAAUAAAUCAAAUUGCAGAGGUCAUGCCUAGACAACUGUAAAAUAUAUAUAUUUAUAUAUAUAUAUAUACAUAUGUAUAUAUGUCAGUAUGCCUUAGAACAUAGAAGCUGCUAUAUCACCUGGAAAUUAUGUAAGCAGGAUGGAUAAACUGCCAGUUGUAAAAUGUAUUCCUAUAAGAAAUGCUUGUCAGCAAGCAGGUUCUUGUGGCAUUUACUAAUGCCCUGUGCUAACCGCCUAAAUCAACCAAGCUAUGAAAUACACGUGUCAAAUGCAA